rnacentral:misc_RNA from 1 species
CUGAAGAAAUGAUAGUGGUUGAGCUGACUUUACUCGAGUAUGUGCUCACCCUAUCGCUUUUUCUAUUCUCCACUGUGAACCUAAUGUAGGCUAUGAUAGACUCUCAAGUCUAGUCUAGACUUUGGAUAGAGGGCUCUGCAAAGUCAAACUCUGCUUGCCUUCAAUUGUUGUAGCCUAUGUCUAUACAAACUCCUUUACAAACUUAUGAAUGUAUGCUUGGUUGUUUAUCGACCAAUAACUAUAUA